GCUUUUGAUUCUCCUGCCUCAGCCUCUCAAGUCACUGAGAUUAUAGGCUGCCAUGCCUGGCGUUAAUUUAAUUUUUAAUAGCUAUGUUUAACAACUGGAUCACCAAAUUUUUGGAAAUGUAGCAACUGGUUCUUUGGGUAGGUUUUGACAUAUGCUUGGUCAGUCCCUCCAAUUCUGCCUACAGCCUCAGUAUUUGACCUUGUGCCAUGCUUCAGUGACAAAAUAGGAGCCACAUGAGAAUUCCUUUUCCUCAUCUCUGAGUCUACAAACCCAGCAUCCACUGGCCUCAGUCCAGUCUUUUCCUUUUCCCUCUGGCUACAAAGGAAGACCCCUAUCCCUUCUCCUUCCUGAGGCCAGGCAAAUGGUGCUCUGGAUUCUGGCUCCACCCACUUCCUUAGAAGCCUCAGCUCAAUGGUCAUCCUUCUUCUCUCCAGGCUCUCAGAAUUGAAACAAAUUGGCUUCCCUCCAGCCCUCAGUCCCAUCUCCCUGUCGGCUUCUACCCUGCAUCACUUCUCUCCUUUCACAAACUUGUUCCAAAAAUCAAUUUCUGCCUCCCCCCACCCCACUUCCCCUCCUCAAUCCACUCCCAUCUCUCUUCAGUCCAGCCAACAGUGCAGGAGGUUUCCUCUUCAGGCUCUCCGGUGCCUUGCCUCUCCUGAAUCCUCUCUGUCUGAUCCCCAGUGGUGUUCCAAUAGCUCCUCCUGCCAUGCUCUCCAGACCUUCCCCCCGAAGCUCCCCUUCUCUUCUGAUUGGCUCCUGAUUUCUUAUUCUUAUUUCCUUGUCUCUUACAUACUGGGGUUUUCCUCUGUGUCCUCUCCUUGGUAGUCUUCUCAGGACAACUGUUUAUUCCCAAGGCCCUGGUGACCAAGGCCUGCUGGUACCUCCUGGAUCUGUCCCCUUGGGUCCCUCUGAACUCCAGGCCACUGAUGAAACUCAGUGUGGGGACCACAGGGCUAGGAUUAACAGAAUUAGCAAAUAAAGAGGUCACCAAAUUAAAUUUGAAUGUCAGGUAAAGAAUAAUUUUCCUUUUUAGUACAAGUAUGACCCAGAUAAAUAACAAAUAAAAUUUUAGUACAAGUAUAUUCCUAAUAUUGCAUGGUCAUACUUUUAUUUAAGUCCAGGCAGUUAGACUUGUCUGUUUAAGUCUGACAGAGAGCACUGAUUGUUAUGGUUCGAAUAUGAGGUGUCUCCCAAAAGCUCGUGUGUUAAUGCAGGAAUGUUCAGAGGUAAAAUGAUUGGAUUGCUGGGAGCUGCAAUCUAAUCAGUCCAUCCUAGUUUGAAUGGACUGACUGGGUGGUAACUGAAGGCAGAUGUCACAAGGCUAAAGGAGGUGGGUUAUGGGGGUGUUUCUUGGACAGGUGCUUAUUCCCUGUGGCUCCUUCCCCCUCUUCUGCUUCUUGGAUACUUGAAGGUAAACAGCUUUCCUCCACUGGCCCUCUCCUGGUGAUGUGCUGCCUUAUGUUGGGCCUAGAGCAAUAGACCUGGCCUUCUAUGGACUGAAACCUCUGAAACCAAGAGCCUCAAAUAAACUUUUCCUCCUCUAAGUUGUUGUUGUCAGGUAUUUUGGUCACAAGGAUGCAAAGUUAACUAAAUCAGCAAUUAAUUCAAAGGAAGAAAUCAUGACUGGUGGAUUUUUAAGACCUGAGUGUACGGUGAUAUUUUUGUGGGCAGAGGCCUUCCAAAUAUUCCCUUCAAAUCUUAAUGCUCUGUUAAAAAAUUACUGGUUUGUUAUACUUUUAUUGUUAUGAUAUUAGUAUUGCUUGGUUUGACUUCUAAUAAUAGUGUAGGAUAAUAAUAGGACCUACUCACAGAAUGGUAGUGAGAAUGAAAUGACUAAAUGUAAAGCACUUGUCAAAGGGGCUGGAGUCAUCUGGGUACAGUGAGCUGGGGUUCUGGAAGGAGGAGGGCUAAAGGCUAGUGACCACCACAGCUCAUGCCUCCCCCACCAGUGCCCCUUUACCUUGUCCUCUGGUGGACAUUUAUGUUACUUGGCAGAGAAGAGACCCAGAAGUGGGGUCCCCACGGCUAGGCAAAUUGGGAAGCGAGCCAGUGAACCUGGGGACACAGCUUCCAUUCAUCUGCUUCUCUGGGCUCUCCUUGCUGACUUGGUAGAAGGAAAAGAGAAAGCGGAAAAAAGCCAACUGACAAAAUCAACAACAAUAAAGAGAAAUUCGCUAAAAGGGUGGAAUUGUCUCCCCAUUCCCAGGAAGGCAGCUGGGGGUUUGGCGCCUUGAGGACCUGGCGUAGACAGCGGCUGUGCAUGCCUGCAUGCCUAGGCUGUGGGCAGGAAUCCGGGGUGGAAGACCGGUACCAGAGAGGCGGCUGCCAUCCUGGGAUCCCGUCCUGCCCUUUGGCUAAGAAAGGGAUGCCGGAUAGGGGGCGGGGCACAAAGUCAUGAUCUGUAAUGGUAAAUUCCUUCCAGGACAGAAAGCCACUCAGCGACUUCGUGAUGACUCGGGGUCAGGUGUCUCCUGUGAUUCGAAUCUAUCCUUGUGAGAAUCCUAUUUCCCUUUUCUGGAAGAAAUUGGGCAGGCAACUGGGAUGAUCGUUGGGCUCCAGGGAACAAAAUAACGUGGAUGGAUAAGUCCUGGAGCUGGCCCUCCUUCGCCACCCCAAGCAGCCCUGGCUACAGACCGCUCACAGAGGAGCUGACUUUGCGUCGGGGAGCCAUGAAAGGAUUUUACAUGCAUUAUCUCUUCCUUUCCCACGACUGACCCCCAGCCCAGAGAGGUUGAGUCACUUGCCUAAGAUAAAAAGCUGUUAAGCAGCUGAGCCCAGGCUGCUGCCUGGGAUACCAGCUUUUAACCCUUUACCUGACAAGACUUCAGGCUCAGCACAGCACUCCCUAUAGCUACGACCAGUAAUAGUGGGUAGGCACUUGGCAUGAAACUUGCUUUCCAAACUCGUUACAUUGCCACAGGGGCUCAGAAGCCAAUCUUCGUGGCUGCUGGAUAACUUGAUCGGGUGAUCUCCCACUUGACACGUUUAUUUAUGGAACCACAGAAUAGUACAUCUAGAAUAGACCUAAGCCAUGGAGUGCAGGAUGUGGAUUUUUAAGAGGGGAAAUCAGAAGCCCAAAGAAACGAACACAUUUCACCAAGAUCAUUCAGGAGUGUCUGGCGUUCUUUGGGGAGGUUUGUUAACUCUCCCUCUUGCAGUGUUCCUCACCCAGGGCUCGGCGGGAGAGUCUUGACGCGAGAUGCCUCUGGAGCCCCAGACCUGGCUUGCAGUCUCUCCUGCUGCCGCCCUGGGAGGGGGAAACGUCAGGAGUCCCGAAACCAGGCGGUCGGUCAGCGGAACCGAGCGCAGUUCGCUCUCUUGGAAAAUGAGGCUGGGCUUUUUGUCCUAGCGCCCACUGGCGGUGGAAGUCCUUGGGCGUCGUAACGUUCCGUGGCCCUACACAUGUUCUGGUAGAGGGAGCCAAGGAUGGGCCCCCUUGGAUUGGGUAGCCACCAGGUGCUGGGCACAAAUCGAAGUUAAGUCAGUUUAAAGGACUGGCAAAUGUGCACCAGAGACCCACAGCCUCUCCUGCCCAGGUCCUGGUUCCCAUCUAGCCCAUUUCAGAUGGCUCUGAAACUCCCUUUUCAAAGCUUGGCCCUUUGGGGCAUGAGGUCAUAAAACGUGAGAAGCACAAAGAAACCCCAACUGGCCCCCCUACAUUAAAAGUCCCUUGUCUUCUGUUUAACCUCAUGAAAUGUUAUCUUAUUUUAACAGCUGUUUGCACAGUGAUCCUAUCAACCUCAGCAGCAAGCACACUCUAGGUAUGGGAGGAGGGAUGAAGACAGAGAGGCUGGCACAAGCAGGUGUGGCCAGAGGUGACCCAAGGUCCCCAUCCCUGUUUCACAUCCUCCAGGCAGCACAGAAGCCCACCCUUGAGGAGAGCUGGGACAGGACAUCUUUAUGUUGCACAGACUGGCCUUGAUUUCUCAAGCAAUCCUCCUGCUUCAGCUUCCCCAGUAGCUGGGACUAUAGAUGCAAGCCAACUGGAUCAUGUUUUUGAAAUCUAUGGUGUCUACUACAGUGCCUGAUAUACUAUAUUAAGUAGUUGCUUAAUAAAUAAUAAUAGCCAUGUA